AGAGUUUGAUCCUGGCUCAGGAUGAACGCUGGCGGCGUGCCUAAUACAUGCAAGUCGAGCGAACGGACGAGAAGCUUGCUUCUCUGAUGUUAGCGGCGGACGGGUGAGUAACACGUGGAUAACCUACCUAUAAGACUGGGAUAACUUCGGGAAACCGGAGCUAAUACCGGAUAAUAUUUUGAACCGCAUGGUUCAAAAGUGAAAGACGGUCUUGCUGUCACUUAUAGAUGGAUCCGCGCUGCAUUAGCUAGUUGGUAAGGUAACGGCUUACCAAGGCAACGAUGCAUAGCCGACCUGAGAGGGUGAUCGGCCACACUGGAACUGAGACACGGUCCAGACUCCUACGGGAGGCAGCAGUAGGGAAUCUUCCGCAAUGGGCGAAAGCCUGACGGAGCAACGCCGCGUGAGUGAUGAAGGUCUUCGGAUCGUAAAACUCUGUUAUUAGGGAAGAACAUAUGUGUAAGUAACUGUGCACAUCUUGACGGUACCUAAUCAGAAAGCCACGGCUAACUACGUGCCAGCAGCCGCGGUAAUACGUAGGUGGCAAGCGUUAUCCGGAAUUAUUGGGCGUAAAGCGCGCGUAGGCGGUUUUUUAAGUCUGAUGUGAAAGCCCACGGCUCAACCGUGGAGGGUCAUUGGAAACUGGAAAACUUGAGUGCAGAAGAGGAAAGUGGAAUUCCAUGUGUAGCGGUGAAAUGCGCAGAGAUAUGGAGGAACACCAGUGGCGAAGGCGACUUUCUGGUCUGUAACUGACGCUGAUGUGCGAAAGCGUGGGGAUCAAACAGGAUUAGAUACCCUGGUAGUCCACGCCGUAAACGAUGAGUGCUAAGUGUUAGGGGGUUUCCGCCCCUUAGUGCUGCAGCUAACGCAUUAAGCACUCCGCCUGGGGAGUACGACCGCAAGGUUGAAACUCAAAGGAAUUGACGGGGACCCGCACAAGCGGUGGAGCAUGUGGUUUAAUUCGAAGCAACGCGAAGAACCUUACCAAAUCUUGACAUCCUUUGACAACUCUAGAGAUAGAGCUUUCCCCUUCGGGGGACAAAGUGACAGGUGGUGCAUGGUUGUCGUCAGCUCGUGUCGUGAGAUGUUGGGUUAAGUCCCGCAACGAGCGCA
rnacentral:rRNA from 1 species